CUAAAAAUGAUUUCCCUUUUGUACAGCGCAGACUCGCCCCUUAUCUAAGAACCACAAGCUCCCCGAUAUCGGUAGAAGACGGUUGUGUUAUAGUUUAGAUGAUAUAGCUGUGUUUAUUGGCAAUAUGUCUGAUCGCAACGUAACCAACAACAACCUGGCGUAUACUAUAAACAAUACAUACCAUGUUAACGGUGAUGAGGUGCAGAUUGGAAAUGGUAAUGUAUUCCACCAGAGAAAUCAACUUCAAUCAGAGGUGGUUGACCUGCGGGAAGAGGUGGGUGAAUUAAAAGACCGAGUCAAACAAUUGGAGGAAAGAAUGGCCGCGUUAGAAAAUAAUAAUGAUGAUACAAAGACUGAGGGAUCAGAAUAUCAGAUGGAUGACGAGGAGGAGGAGGAAGAGGAGGAGGAUAUGAUUACUCUGAAGCUCUAUAUUGUUUGGUUUGGUAAGAUGACUUUUAGUGUUAGUAGAGAUAAAACUGUAAGUGAACUAGAAUCUAUGAUACAGGAGGAGUGUAGAAGGAAGUAUGGUAGAGAUUGUGGUGUGAGUUGUAUUACUAGUAUCUACAGUGUAAAACAGAAGAAGUUCAUCUACCAAAGUAACAACAACAAAGAUCUAUCAUUUUCACAUUACGGUGUAGGUGAGGGUGAUAUAGUCUGCUAGUGUUAGUUUGUUUGAUUGUAUUCAGUUUUAACUAAUCAGAUAGUUUGAUUGUAUUGAUACCAAAGUAUGCCUAGUUUGUAUCAUAUUAGAAUUUAAAUGUUAAAUGAUAUCGGCUUGGUAUUAAAAUUUAAAUGUUAAUUGACAAUUUAUAUUGUAUUGUAUAUAAUUACACCUACUGUAUUUAAAAUAAACUAUUAUGUAAGG